rnacentral:rRNA from 1 species
CGGCUCCUACGGGGCGCAGCAGUGAGGAAUAUUGGUCAAUGGUCGGGAGACUGAACCAGCCAAGCCGCGUGAGGGAGGAAGGUACAGAGUAUCGUAAACCUCUUUUGUCAGGGAACAAAGACUGGGACGCGUCCCCGGAUGAGUGUACCUGAAGAAAAAGCAUCGGCUAACUCCGUGCCAGCAGCCGCGGUAAUACGGAGGAUGCGAGCGCUAUCCGGAUUUAUUGGGUUUAAAGGGUGCGCAGGCGGUCUGUUAAGUCAUCGGUCAAAGCCCGGGGCUCAACCCCGG